UACGUAGGUGGCAAGCGUUGUCCGGAUUUACUGGGCGUAAAGAGCGCGCAGGCGGUCGUUCAAGUCGCGUGUGAAAGCCCCCGGCUCAACUGGGGAGGGUCACGCGAUACUGAUCGACUCGAAGGCAGGAGAGGGUAGUGGAAUUCCCGGUGUAGUGGUGAAAUGCGUAGAUAUCGGGAGGAACACCAGUGGCGAAGGCGACUUCCUGGCCUGUUCUUGACGCUGAGGUGCGAAAGCGUGGGGAGCAAACAGG
rnacentral:rRNA from 1 species